UCACAUAAUGUUAUCCAAUCAAUGAACCUAUUUUCUACUGGUUUAUUUUCAAUACUUGCUCCUAUUGGAUUUUGUCUAAAGAAAGGUUAGCGAAAACGGUCAAACCAAUAAAACGGCAGAUACAACGAAUCAGAAACCAUAAUCACCAGCAGAUUGCAUCCAUAUCAGGCAAAGUGUUUAGUGGUGAAAAUGGAAUGCGAAGGGAUCCUGAUCCCAUACAAUCGAGAUAACAUUCAUAACACAUUGCUCCCACGAAUUGGGAGACAGAGUCAAAAGCCGAAAUAGCCUAAAUGACCAUUCAUUCUCCGAUCCGAUACCACAGAACCGAUUCUCAAAUCCUAGAUGAAUUUAUUAAAACGCUGCAGGAAACAGAAAUCUUUUGAGAUUCGCGAAUUAUUUUAGGUUAUUCGAUUAACACAGCUUUAAUUAUAACUCAAAAUUUCAAAAAGUGACAACAAUUUUCAAAAGUCAAACCGCAGCGUUGGCGUGCGAUGUCCCCAGGCCACAGAGCUCGGUACUGUCGGUCUGGCUAUCGACCUGCAAGCUCCAUAGGACCCAUUGAGCAAGGCAACAGCAGCAGCUUGCUCUGCUCUGAACAGGAUGCCAUAGCCAGCACAACAUCUCCUGCAGUAGUGUGGGGGUUUUUUUAUCUGUCCAGUUUCCAAACAGUUUCCAAAA